GUCCACUGAACCUUAUCAUUUAGAGGAAGGAGAAGUCGUAACAAGGUUUCCGUAGGUGAACCUGCGGAAGGAUCAUUGUCGAAACCUGCAGAGCAGAACGACCCGCGAACCGGUUACUGAAACCGCGGGGGCGAGGCGUCGGGCGCGCGAGCGCCGGGCGCCGAGUCCCCGCCCGUCGCGGGGGGGUCGAGUCCCGGCUCUCCCUCCCGCGGCGAAAUAACGAACCCCGGCGCGAGCUGCGCCAAGGAAAAUCAAACGAUGGAGCGCGCGCGCGACCCGCCUUUUUGGCGGGGAGCGCCGCAGUCUCUCUUGGAAAAUCUAAAACGACUCUCGGCAACGGAUAUCUCGGCUCUCGCAUCGAUGAAGAACGUAGCGAAAUGCGAUACUUGGUGUGAAUUGCAGAAUCCCGUGAACCAUCGAGUCUUUGAACGCAAGUUGCGCCCCAAGCCGUUAGGCCGAGGGCACGUCUGCCUGGGUGUCACGCAUCGUCGCCCCCCCCCCAAACCCCCCUCGCGGGGCGUCGUCGGGCGGGGCGGAGACUGGCCUCCCGCGCGCUCCCGCUCGCGGUUGGCCCAAAUUCGAGUCCUUCGGCGUCCGAGCCGCGACGAUCGGUGGUGCGUAAAAUGCCUCUCGAGCUCCCGUCGCGCGCUCGGGUCUCCGUGUUGCGGGCUCGCGGACCCUUUGACGGAGCGCCCCGGCGCUCGCUCUGCGACCCCAGGUCAGGCGGGACUACCCGCUGAGUUUAAGCAUAUCAAUAAGCGGAGGA
rnacentral:rRNA from 1 species